rnacentral:rRNA from 1 species
CAGUAGCCUCGGGAAUACGGAGGGUGCAAGCGUUAUCCGGAUUCACUGGGUUUAAAGGGUGCGUAGGCGGAUCUGUAAGUCAGUGGUGAAAUCUCCAGGCUUAACCUGGAAACUGCCGUUGAUACUAUAGGUCUUGAAUUUUUGGAGGUUAGCGGAAUAUGUCAUGUAGCGGUGAAAUGCAUAGAUAUGACAUAGAACACCAAUUGCGAAGGCAGCUGGCUACACAACUAUUGACGCUGAGGCACGAAAGCGUGGGGAUCAAACAGGAUUAGAUACCCGCGUAGUCCCUGUCUCUUAUACA